GACGAACGCUGGCGGCGUGCUUAACACAUGCAAGUCGAACGGAAAGGCCCUGCUUUUGUGGGGUGCUCGAGUGGCGAACGGGUGAGUAACACGUGAGUAACCUGCCCUUGACUUUGGGAUAACUUCAGGAAACUGGGGCUAAUACCGGAUAGGAGCUCCUGCUGCAUGGUGGGGGUUGGAAAGUUUCGGCGGUUGGGGAUGGACUCGCGGCUUAUCAGCUUGUUGGUGGGGUAGUGGCUUACCAAGGCUUUGACGGGUAGCCGGCCUGAGAGGGUGACCGGCCACAUUGGGACUGAGAUACGGCCCAGACUGCUACGGGAGGCAGCAGUGGGGAAUAUUGCACAAUGGGCGGAAGCCUGAUGCAGCAACGCCACGUGCGGGAUGACGGCCUUCGGGUUGUAAACCGCUUUCGCCGGUGACGAAGCGUGAGUGACGGUAAUGGGUAAAGAAGCACCGGCUAACUACGUG
rnacentral:rRNA from 1 species